rnacentral:lncRNA from 1 species
UUCAUUUUGGUACCCAUAUUUGCAUGGGUCCUUCUUUGUUAGUGCCUUUGGGGACCCAAAUUUGUCUAAUCUUGGGUCUCACAUGCAUGGAAUUAUAAUAACACUUUGUAGCCCUAUGACCAUAUUUAUUGCAUAUGAAACAUCUAUUAUAAUGCAUACCUGUGUGUGUGUGGUGAUUCAUCUUCCACUUGGACUUGUGUGGUUCCUUA